AGAGUUUGAUCCUGGCUCAGGAUGAACGCUAGCUACAGGCUUAACACAUGCAAGUCGAGGGGCAUCAGUUUGGUUUGCUUGCAAACCAAAGCUGGCGACCGGCGCACGGGUGAGUAACACGUAUCCAACCUACCUCAUACUCGGGGAUAGCCUUUCGAAAGAAAGAUUAAUAUCCGAUAGCAUAUAUUUCCCGCAUGGGUUUUAUAUUAAAGAAAUUCGGUAUGAGAUGGGGAUGCGUUCCAUUAGUUUGUUGGGGGGGUAACGGCCCACCAAGACUACGAUGGAUAGGGGUUCUGAGAGGAAGGUCCCCCACAUUGGAACUGAGACACGGUCCAAACUCCUACGGGAGGCAGCAGUGAGGAAUAUUGGUCAAUGGACGAGAGUCUGAACCAGCCAAGUAGCGUGAAGGAUGACUGCCCUAUGGGUUGUAAACUUCUUUUAUAUGGGAAUAAAGUUGUCCACGUGUGGAUUUUUGUAUGUACCAUAUGAAUAAGGAUCGGCUAACUCCGUGCCAGCAGCCGCGGUAAUACGGAGGAUCCGAGCGUUAUCCGGAUUUAUUGGGUUUAAAGGGAGCGUAGGCGGAUUGUUAAGUCAGUUGUGAAAGUUUGCGGCUCAACCGUAAAAUUGCAGUUGAUACUGGGUGUCUUGAGUACAGUAGAGGCAGGCGGAAUUCGUGGUGUAGCGGUGAAAUGCUUAGAUAUCACGAAGAACUCCGAUUGCGAAGGCAGCUUGCUGGACUGUAACUGACGCUGAUGCUCGAAAGUGUGGGUAUCAAACAGGAUUAGAUACCCUGGUAGUCCACACAGUAAACGAUGAAUACUCGCUGUUUGCGAUAUACAGUAAGCGGCCAAGCGAAAGCAUUAAGUAUUCCACCUGGGGAGUACGCCGGCAACGGUGAAACUCAAAGGAAU
rnacentral:rRNA from 1 species